rnacentral:rRNA from 1 species
GUGGAUUAGAUACCCUAGUAGUCCACGCUGUAAACGAUGAGCACUAGGUGUCGUGGGUAUUGACCCCCGCGGUGCCGUAGCUAACGCAUUAAGUGCUCCGCCUGGGGACUACGGCCGCAAGGUUAAAACUCAAAGGAAUUGACGGGGGCCCGCACAAGCGGUGGAGCAUGUGGUUCAAUUCGACGCAACGCGAAGAACCUUACCUGGGCUAGACAACGGAGGACAGCUCCAGAGAUGGGGUCUUCCCUUCGGGGACCUCCGGUUCAGGUGCUGCACGGUCGUCGUCAACU